rnacentral:rRNA from 1 species
CCUACGGGGGGCUGCAGUGGGGAAUAUUGCACAAUGGGGGAAACCCUGACGCAGCGACGCCGCGUGAGUGAAGAAGUAUUUCGGUAUGUAACGCUCUAUCAGCAGGGAAGAAAUAAAGUCCUUCGGACUUUGGACGGUACCUGACUAAGAAGCCCCGGCUAACUACGUGCCAGCAGCCGCGGUAAUACGUAGGGGGCAAGCGUUAUCCGGAUUUACUGGGUGUAAAGGGAGCGUAGACGGCAGCGCAAGUCUGGAGUGAAAUCCCAUGGCUUAACAAUGGAACUGCUGUGGAGACUGUGCAGCUGGAGUGCAGGAGAGGUAAGCGGAAUUCCUAGUGUAGCGGUGAAAUGCGUAGAUAUUAGGAGGAACACCAGUGGCGAAGGCGGCUUACUGGACUGUAACUGACGUUGAGGCUCGAAAGCGUGGGGAGCAAACAGGAUGAGAUACCCUUGUAGUC